GGUGGUUUUAACACUAUAGGGCCAGGAAUACAUAUUUGUGUUCCUGACACUAUAGUGCUCCUUUAACCCCUUAAGGACCAAACUUCUGGAAUAAAAGGGAAUCAUGACAUGUCACAUAUGCAGUGGCGUACUAAGGGGGGCGGGGGGGACGGUCCGCCCCGGGUGCCAUCAGGUAGGGGGGUGCCACCAGGGCUGGCCAGGCUUGGAGUUCAGUGAGCUGUGUGGCUGCACCGGGUGCAAUAGCAGCAGGGGUGCCGGGCAGCCGACACAGCUCACACGCAGGGGCUGGGAGCAGGAGACCUGCAUGGAGAUUUGGGGGCGGAGCCAGAUCGCUGUGGGGGCGGAGCCAAGCCAGAUGUGGGGGCAGAGCAGAAGUCCCUGCUUCCCCAAUUCCAACACAGCAGGGACUGAAUCCAUUCCUCCUCCAGCCCAAGCUUACUGUAAGUGAGAGAGUGUGUGCUGUGUCUAACUGUGAUUGUGAGUGU